GACGAACCGAGCGAACGUUGUUCGGAAUCACUGGGCUUAAAGGGCGCGUAGGCGGGUGCUCAAGUCUGUGGUGAAAUCCUCCGGCUCAACCGGAGAACUGCCAUGGAUACUGGGUGUCUCGAGGGUGGUAGGGGUAUGCGGAACUAUCGGUGGAGCGGUGAAAUGCGUUGAUAUCGAUAGGAACUCCGGUGGCGAAGGCGGCAUACUGGACCACUUCUGACGCUGAGGCGCGAAAGCGUGGGGAGCAAACAGG
rnacentral:rRNA from 1 species